CGGAAGUGCUAAAGUCUUGUUUUUUUUUACGUAUAACAACACACUGACAGGAUGCAUUCGAGGAUAACGAUAGCCAAGUCGUUUAUCAGGCUGUUAAUAGGAAUUAUUUCUGCAAAUAGAUGUAACUGAUGCCAAGAAGGGCUGUACCAUUGCACAGAUGAGGAACAUCAUCUUUGCUGCAGUUCUCAUUUAGUCUGUUUUUGAAGAAGAAAAGGAAGCAGAGAGGACAACAGAUGGAUGAAGCUGCUUUGGACAGUUUAGAGGAAGAUUUGAAGCGAGAAGCAGAGAGGUUGAGUUUGCCUCUUAAACAAAAGACUAAAGCAAAGAAACAAAGAGAAAGAAAGUAUUUCCAUAAAGUGAUAGGUCAGCAGCUGCCAAUGGCAUACAAUCUGUUGAAGAGGGGUCUGUUCGGAGAGAUACUGGAGGCGCAUCUCACCAAUUGUUCCCAGGACAACCUUGACCAGCUCGCUGCUGUGUGACGUAUUGCAAGAGCUACAGUAUAUUCUGAAUGACUUCUGUAAAACAUGUUGGGUUGUUUGAGAGACAGAUUACACUGCACUAAAUCUGCGCUGUUAGGUGGUGGUUCUCAAUGUAAAAUGCUACUAAGCCCAAGACCUUUUUAGAUUGUUAGAUUUUGCAACUAAAAAAGACGUAAAAGCCAAUUAAUUUAGCAUUAAUUAAAAAAAAUUCCUUAAAAAUGUAAUUGGUUGAACUUGAUUAAGAAUAAGCAUAUGCUUUUUUUUUUUUUAUUAGUCUAUGUUCUCACUUAAGCUGUUUUGUCUUUAAGGUUAGCCCUACAUUAAAUUACAUUCAGUGCAGUUUUUACCAAUCAACAUUUUGUUAGUAACACUGUGUUUUUACAAACCUGAUUUUAUUUUAUUCACGCUGUCAGUCCACUGCCCCAGAGAGAAAUGAUUUGCAACUGCUGAGAAUUCAGUAUGUUACAUGAAUUAUUUCGGAGCUUUCUGCAUUAGCAUAUUUUGCAUAACCCAUUUGCUUGAAAGCAAAAGGUUCUUUAACUUGCCAAUUUAUUUGUACAGCAUGAAACCUGAUCUGUUUAAGUUUAGAUGUAACAUUCUGCUUUUUGUACACUUAAUUUUCAUUCUGAUUCAUAGCCCUAUGGUAUGUCUAGUAAUUGGUGCAUAUGGUUGAUAAAAUAAGUGAAUUGUACUGAGACCCUUUAGUUUUUCAGUGUCACGGUAUAACUGUCUGUUUGCUAUUGUUGUGAUGAUUCCGUUUUUGUUGUCCAGUAUUUAUGCCGUACUUUGUUCCAAAUAAGAUGUUUAGUAAAGUGUAUAUUUUUUGUCUUUUUUAUUUUCUGUGCUGUGACAGAUGAAAUCCAACUAUAUUAUAUAAAUUAAUCAAAUAUAUUACCUUUUCUUCUGUUAUAAUUAAGGGAUUGAAUAAUUAGUAUCCGUCCCCUUUGGAGAACAACAAAGGCAGAGGCACAUUAUUAAUUUAAGCUAUAUUAUUGUGUCAAUAGCAGUCCCUCAGAAAUCUAUGCCUAUUUUAAUGCAUUUAAUGUUGUUAUUAAUAAAGAUUACAG